rnacentral:rRNA from 1 species
GUGCACCAGUCGCGAAACUUUACAAUGUGCGAAAGCACGAUAAGGGAACUCUGAGUGCCUCCUAAGGAGGCUGUUCAGGAGUCUAAAAGCACCUGAAGGAAGGGCUGGGUAAGACCGGUGCCAGCCGCCGCGGUAACACCGGCAGCCCAAGUGGUAGCCACGUUUAUUGGGUCUAAAGCGUCCGUAGCCGGCUGGGUAAGUUCCUUGGGAAAUUUGGCUGCUUAACAGUCAAGCUUUCAGGGAAUACUGCCCGGCUUGGGACCGGGAGAGGUCAGAGGUACUCCAGGGGUAGGGGUGAAAUCCAUUAAUCCUUGGGGGACCACCGGUAGCGAAGGCGUCUGACCAGACCGGGUCCGACGGUGAGGGACGAAGGCUAGGGGCGCGAACCGGAUUAGAUACCCGCGUAGU